rnacentral:lncRNA from 1 species
GCGCGGUUUCCCUUCGCGUCGCCACCACUUCGCGCGAUAGGAGAAGCAUCGCGCGUCCUCCUUCGCCAGCUUCGCGCGCGCGUUUGGACGAAGCAGCGCACAAUAGGACGACGCAGCGCGCGAUAGGACGAAUCUACGACGCCUUGCUCAUCAACGCCGGCCAGGUACGCCUUCUUCAUCAAACCUUGAAGCCCGCAACUGAUAACAACUG